AAGAUAAAAAAAUUACAGCAGCGGAGGAGUCUGAAUUUAGAACGGAGGCAUCUGCUAGAAGACCGAAGGUAUCCAAAGUAUGUGAAUACCUUCAGGCAGCUGGUUUGUACACCAAGUCUUCGUUGGCUUAUGAAUGCUUCUGAAAAGGAAAAUAUCAUGUACCGACUCAAUUGUCAUAAUACUAUGGAUAUCUCUGGCUGCUUUUGUGGGAUUUCUCUUUCUUAUUUUGAAUCUAAUGUCUCUCGGGGUGAAGCUUCCAAAGAUACACAAAUCCAAAGUGAGGGAACACCAUGAAA